GAUGAACGCUGGCGGCGUGCCUAAUACGUGCAAGUCGAGCGAACAGACGAGGAGCUUGCUUCUCUGACGUUAGCGGCGGACGGGUGAGUAACACGUGGAUAACCUACCUAUAAGACUGGGAUAACUUCGGGAAACCGGAGCUAAUACCGGAUAAUAUAUUGUACCGCAUGGUUCAAUAGUGAAAGACGGUUUUGCUGUCACUUAUAGAUGGAUCCGCGCCGCAUUAGCUAGUUGGUAAGGUAACGGCUUACCAAGGCAACGAUGCGUAGCCGACCUGAGAGGGUGAUCGGCCACACUGGAACUGAGACACGGUCCAGACUCCUACGGGAGGCAGCAGUAGGGAAUCUUCCGCAAAGGGCGAAAGCCUGACGGAGCAACGCCGCGUGAGUGAUGAAGGUCUUCGGAUCGUAAAACUCUGUUAUUAGGGAAGAACAAAUGUGUAAGUAACUAUGCACGUCUUGACGGUACCUAAUCAGAAAGCCACGGCUAACUACGUG
rnacentral:rRNA from 1 species